rnacentral:sRNA from 1 species
GCUGCUCCGGUCUUAU